UACAACUUUCAGCAACGGAUCUCUUGGCUCUCGCAUCGAUGAAGAACGCAGCGAAAUGCGAUAAGUAAUGUGAAUUGCAGAAUUCAGUGAAUCAUCGAAUCUUUGAACGCACCUUGCGCUCCUUGGUAUUCCGAGGAGCAUGCCUGUUUGAGUGUCAUUAAAUCAUCAA
rnacentral:rRNA from 8 species